rnacentral:rRNA from 1 species
AUUGAACGCUGGCGGCAGGCCUAACACAUGCAAGUCGAACGAGUGGCGGACGGGUGAGUAAUGUCUGGGAAACUGCCUGAUGGAGGGGGAUAACUCCGGGAACCGGUAGCUAAUACCGCUUACCUUCGGUUGUGCCCAGAUGGGAUGAGCUAGUAGGUGGGGUAACGGCUCACCUAGGCGACGAUCCCUAGCUGGUCUGAGAGGAUGACCAGCCACACUGGAACUGAGACACGGUCCAGACUCCUACGGGAGGCAGCAGUGGGGAAUAUUGCACAAUGGGCGCAAGCCUGAUGCAGCCAUGCCGCGUGUAUGAAGAAGGCCUUCGGGUUGUAAAGUACUUUCAGCGGGGAGGCGUUACCCGCAGAAGAAGCACCGGCUAACUCCGUGCCAGCAGCCGCGGUAAUAC